rnacentral:rRNA from 1 species
UGCAAGUCGAACGAACCUUCGGGUUAGUGGCGGACGGGUGAGUAACGCGUGAGAAUCUGCCCUCAGGAGGGGGAUAACGGCUGGAAACGGCCGCUAAUACCCCAUAUGCCGCGAGGUGAAAUGAAUUUCGCCUGAGGAUGAGCUCGCGUCUGAUUAGCUAGUUGGUGUAGGUAAAGGCUCACCAAGGCAUCGAUCAGUAGCUGGUCUGAGAGGAUGAUCAGCCACACUGGGACUGAGACACGGCCCAGACUCCUACGGGAGGCAGCAGUGGGGAAUUUUCCGCAAUGGGCGAAAGCCUGACGGAGCAACGCCGCGUGAGGGAUGAAGGCCUCUGGGCUGUAAACCUCUUUUAUCAAGGAAGAAGAUCUGACGGUACUUGAUGAAUAAGCCACGGCUAAUUCCGUGCCAGCAGCCGCGGUAAUACGGGAGUGGCAAGCGUUAUCCGGAAUUAUUGGGCGUAAAGCGUCCGCAGGCGGCCCAGAAAGUCUGCUGUUAAAACGUGGAGCUUAACUCCAUCAUGGCAGUGGAAACUACUGGGCUUGAGUGUGGUAGGGGCAGAGGGAAUUCCCGGUGUAGCGGUGAAAUGCGUAGAUAUCGGGAAGAACACCAGUGGCGAAGGCGCUCUGCUGGGCCAUCACUGACGCUCAUGGACGAAAGCCAGGGGAGCGAAAGGGAUUAGAUACCCCUGUAGUCCUGGCCGUAAACGAUGAACACUAGGUGUCGGGGGAAUCGACCCCCUCGGUGUCGUAGCCAACGCGUUAAGUGUUCCGCCUGGGGAGUACGCACGCAAGUGUGAAACUCAAAGGAAUUGACGGGGGCCCGCACAAGCGGUGGAGUAUGUGGUUUAAUUCGAUGCGACGCGAGAACCUUACCAGGGUUUGACAUCCUGCGAACCUCUUGAAACGAGAGGGUGCCUUCGGGAACGCAGUGACAGG